rnacentral:rRNA from 1 species
GCAUUAAGCACUCCGCCUGGGGAGUACGACCGCAAGGUUGAAACUCAAAGGAAUUGACGGGGGCCCGCACAAGCGGUGGAGCAUGUGGUUUAAUUCGAAGCAACGCGAAGAACCUUACCAGGUCUUGACAUCCUUUGACCACUCUAGAGAUAGAGCUUCCCCUUCGGGGGCAAAGUGACAGGUGGUGCAUGGUUGUCGUCAGCUCGUGUCGUGAGAUGUUGGGUUAAGUCCCGCAACGAGCGCAACCCUUAUUGUUAGUUGCCAUCAUUUAGUUGGGCACUCUAGCGAGACUGCCGGUGACAAACCGGAGGAAGGUGGGGAUGACGUCAAAUCAUCAUGCCCCUUAUGACCUGGGCUACACACGUGCUACAAUGGGAAGUACAACGAGUUGCGAAGUCGCGAGGCUAAGCUAAUCUCUUAAAGCUUCUCUCAGUUCGGAUUGUAGGCUGCAACUCGCCUACAUGAAGCCGGAAUCGCUAGUAAUCGCGGAUCAGCACGCCGCGGUGAAUACGUUCCCGGGCCUUGUACACACCGCCCGUCACACCACGAGAGUUUGUAACACCCGAAGUCGGUGAGGUAACCUUUUUGGAGCCAGCCGCCUAAGGUG